ACCAUGGCCAGCCCGCUGCGCUCCUUGAUGCUACUGCUGGCCGUCCUGGCCGUGGCCUGGGCCGGAACCUCCAGGCCACCCCCGCGAUUGUUGGGAGCUCCGCAGGAGGCAGAUGCCAGCGAGGAGGGCGUGCAGCGAGCGUUGGACUUCGCCGUAAGCGAGUACAACAAGGGCAGCAACGAUGCGUACCACAGCCGCGCCAUACAGGUG
rnacentral:lncRNA from 1 species